GAAAAGGAAAGAGGUUCAGUCAGACUCAUUCACCAAACAAGCUACAUGCAAGGAAGAACAGCAAGCAGUCACAACCGCAAGAUCAACUCUACAAUUUUCUCCAAACACACCAAUAGUCGAGGGGGAUGUGGGAAGAUUCUAAAGAGAUCUCUUUUACACAAUCACAGUUUGAUGUUUCUUUUACCCCUCUGGCCCGGUGGAUGGUCUUAACCGAGUAGGCAUCACACUUCCCGCCAAAACGUUCCAAAGAAGUCGAAGACCAGCUUGCGGAGGAGGAGGCGGAGGAGGAAGUUUUAAAACCGCAAAAGACUCCUGCCGUUGAAUAAUUGUUCCCGGACAAAAUUGUCGAAAAAGAGGUCGAAUGUCCCUCCGUUGAAGACUUGCUUGCGGAGGCUGCUGAGGCUUUUCUUUCGCCGGAGAGUCCACAGGAGCCCGCCGUGAAGUCGUUGAAGGCUCGCUUGUUGCGGAUGUGAAGGCUUUUCUUCCAUCAAAGAGUUCAGACAACGAAGGCUUGCUCGAGGACAACAGCAUCGAAAAGAUGGCGAAAGUCCUACACGCUGUAAGUUCUUUUUGCAUUCUGGACGUUUUUCCUUAAAGCUCCCGAGUUUUGACGAGAUCCUCACUCUAGCCCAUCUUCCCCACAAAUGAUUUUCGCGCGCUGAGUAGUAGGCGGGGUCUGAUUCCGGAGGUGGGGGUCUGUUUCCGAGUGUGAGCGUGAGAGUAUCGAAUGAAAACGACAGCGCCACAUGUGGAUAAAGCGUAUCGUGUUUUUCCACACUUUAUUGUUACAACCCAUAAAGCCAACGAACAAUAAAGAUGGUAACUUUGUUUAGAAAUAUUUAUUCAUACCGUAAAUGUGUUGUUUAUUACGCUGUUACAUGAAUACUAAUAACUCUUAAAGUUUUGUCCAUUUUAUAGCAAUGAAAAGUGUUGAUAAAAAAAAACUAGUAAUCAAUGUUUUGAGGACGGUCAAAAUAGCGGUAAUAAAUAUAAACAAAACAACACCAAAGCUUUCUUGAUGUGUUAAGAAAGCCACACAUAUGUACAAAACACAUUAACGUCUUACAACCCAUAAUGCCAAUGAACAAUAAAGAUGGUAACUUUGUUUAGAAAUAUUUAUUCAUACCGUAAAUGUGCUGUUUAUUACGUUGUUACAUGAACACUGAUAACUCUUAAAGUUUUGUCCAUUUUUAUAGCAAUGAAAAGUGUUGAUUAAAAAAAAAACUAGUAAUCAACGUUUUGAGGACGGUCAAAAUAGCGGUAAUAAAUAUAAACAAAACAACACCAAAGCUUUCUCGAUGUGUUAAGAAAGCCACACAUAUGUACAAAACACAUUAAUGUCUUACAAACAACAAGCGUUUUGCCUCUAACAAUAAACGCUCUAAAACAUAUACGAAUUAAAACAUAUAAAAAAACAUAUUUUAAAAACUCAUAUAAUA